ensembl:misc_RNA Y_RNA Y RNA
UGUCUCCUCCAAAUGCAGUCGUGUUUACAACUGAUUAGUCACAACCAGUUACAGAUUUCUUUGUUCCUUCUCCACUCUCACUGCUUCACUUGAUGAGCAUUUU